AGGAAGGGAAGCUGAGAACAAAGUGUAGGCAGCUGGGGCGAUCUGAUGGCUCCUCUUCCCCUGGUUCUUCUGCUCUGGUGUCCUAAGAGCCGGUGAAGCCAGACUUCAUAAAGUUCCUGGGGCAGGUCAGGUUCCCAAGCUCCAGCGAAAGGGACACAUAAAUCUCCAUGACAUGAAGCUGUGGCCGGGGCUAAUGACUGGAAAUCCCAACUGAGCCCAGGGUUAACAGGAGCAUGGAGUAACUCCGAGGAAGCGUGACUGCUGACUGGUUCCUUAUCUCCUCCUGAGUCCAAGCCCUUAUAAUGGAGAGAAGGGAACUGAAAAUCCAGAACAGAGAGGACUGCACAUGGAAACCCACCUGAGUUCUCAGCGCUGAAGACUCGACUGAAGAAGCCUCAUCUCCCCAGACCAGGCUCCUGGCUGGUUAGGCCAGUGGUCGGCAAACUCAUUAGUCAACAGAGCCAGAUAUCAACAGUGCUUCUUCA